rnacentral:rRNA from 1 species
AGUAGCAAUCAUACCAACACUAAUGCACUGAAUCCCAUUAGAACUCCGCUAUCAAGCGUGCUUGGGAGAGAGUUGUACUAGGAUGGGGACAACAUGGGAAGUGCUCGUGUUGCACAUA